rnacentral:misc_RNA from 1 species
UACUGCCUCCAGAUUUUGUUCCAGAAGAAGAAGAAGGAGAUACAAGAGUAGUCGGUAGUGUAGUGGCAAAGUGUUGUUGAAGUUUCACACAGACGUUGGGUUCAUCUCUUGCAAGCAGCGUUUCAAGAUUUUGUUUUUACUGUAAGCUGAUCCACCCGCUAAAAACCCUAUCAGGUCAACCGGAUACCCAUGCAGGGUCAUGGGUAAAUCCUGGUUUUAAGAAUAAAAGGGUUUAAAGUCUGAACCGAACUGGUUAUUGGUCUGGUUCCCAGUUAAGCUGGUCCGGUUCGGUUCAGUUCUGACAACACUGGUUAUUACAAUGAGAGUGCUGAGGCUGGAAUUUGGGCAAUUGUAGAGCUAGGCUUUAUUUUUGGUGGUGGUCAAUGUAACACUUAAUAUGUAUCUUAUUUAUAGUAUUUUUAUAUCCAUAAAAUGCAUGAAAUAUAUUAAAUGUCAAGAAAAUAAACAUAUUAAUAUUAAUUUGCAUGCAAUUAUAUAAAGAGACUUAAAAGAAACUGAAAUUGUAGUAUUCAAUAUGUUUUCUUUUGAAAAUUGAAUCUAUUAUGAUGAAUUUUUUUUUCCUAUGAAGAAUAAUAAGUUAAACCUGAAAUUGAAUUUUAAUAUUUCAUAAAUCACCUAAUAUGCAUCAUAACAUCAAAUAAUUUGUAGACACUCAUGUCAAAUUAUUUUUAAUAAUUUGUUUCAAUAGCAAACCUGUUAACCAUAGUUUUCAAACACUAAAUUGAAAA